rnacentral:lncRNA from 1 species
GGGCUCUCCUGGAGGAUGCGUCCGCCCGCGCCCGCCACGGCGCCGGCCCGGAGACUCGAGCCCACCGGUGCCGGCGCCUCGCCGGCUCCGUUACGAGAAUUUUUACAUAUGUAUGACCUCUUACUGGAUUACCAACUCCUGGAAGAUAGGCUGUUUCCUGCUCAGCCUGGUAUCCCACACUGCCAAACCCAGAAACUUGGACAAAAGAAGCAGUGUGCUAUGUUAAAGGUGGAAUAAACAGGGGUUGCAAAUCAAAAGAAAGUCCAUCUGCUUCUCCCCUUAGUUACAUAAUAGCAGAUCAGUUGUUUUAGUUCCUGUGUCUUCCGAUCUCACCUCUGGUAAGGUCUGGGAACAUAGCUCAGUAACACCCUACUGUUCGUCCCUGGUGUGUGAUGCCUAUGACACAAAAACCAAACAAGUCCCAUGGAAAUGGGAUAGUAGGUGCUACGGCUGUUACCUAAAGUAAACACAUUUCAGUGGAUUGUAUCAGGUGUCCUUACCACACAGUCAGCGGUGUUCUGUGCUCUCAGAGUUGCUUCAGGACUCUAAACUCAGUUGCAGCUUUCAGGUGACACUCAUAGUAUCUAUUCUGUGAUAAGUUGUGAACACCUUAGAAACUUAAUAAAUUACAAAUGUGAGUGGGCUGAUCAGUGAAGAAAAUAAUUUCCUACAGUUACCUAUAAAAAGCAGAUAUUAACACUUAAGAUU